GGGAGAGAGAAGCUCAAGCUCAAGCGAAAGAGAAAGAGUAAGAGAAAGAGAGAAAGGAGUUAGCUGCGCCGGAGAAAAAUGCGUCUUUUCGAUCCAUGGCCUGUGUUCUUCAAGCGCGAAUUCAAGCGCAACUGGCCCUUCCUCGUUGGAUUUGCCACCAGCGGGUUCAUUGUAACCAAAUUCUCUCUCAGUCUUACUGAGGAGGAUGCCAAAAAAUCGCCAUUCGUUCAGCAGCACAGGAGGAAUAAGGAAUAAGUGACUUCUGAAUGGAACGAUAGCACCAGCUUUGCGCAUUGUGUGAGCUGUUCCUAGAGCUUUGCUUGCUUUAGCUUCAUAAAUUGUAAUAACUGAAGAGAGAUGUUGUUUACUCACUCUCGCUGUCUCCCUGUUUACAAUUUCUUUUGUUUUCUUAGAUUAAAUUCAUAUUAAGAAAUUCCGAAGUUCUCACUUUUUGAUUACUUUAUUGUGACAAUGAUCAUACUUGGAGGUUUCUCUUUAUUUUGCAACAAUGCCAAUGGUUAAUCUUGCAAAAAUAGUAGUGUUAAUAAUGUAUUUUGGGGCUUUUUGGAUCUGUUCAUGAGCAUCCUUAAGUGAUGUUUCUCUGCAACCCA